AUGAGUGACGCGUCACAGGUGGCGCAGUUGCUGGACGCGCAGGACGCACGCGGGCACGGCGCAUGGGCAGCGCGAGGAGCAACAGUACGGCACAGCAGGGGGUGAGGAGGUCGCGCAGAGCGUCGCGGGGUGGCACGGAAAGAGCAGUUUCGCGGGUGUAACCAGGCGCGCGGCCGGCCUGCUCGCAGGAGAGUCGCAGGCGCUGGUUGAGGGAGAGUCGCAGGGAGCAGCUCAGCCAUGGGUGAAGGGGGUGGUCAAUUAGUCUUCAAUGCCACCUACCGGAGCAUGUCAGGUAGAGGUACCGCCCCAAUGGCCGAUGGGUUUGAGGAGCGGCCGUUGCCUAGAGAGAGGAGGUGGCCAUCGAUUGUGGUGCAGCUAAUCCAGGGCGGAGCAGGGCAGGGAGGCGACCACCAUUGCAGCCCCACGGGCGCCAGCCGCGUCGUGCUGCACCAGCGAGAGAUGUAUGGAGCGUGAGUUGAAUUACCCAACUGGACAAAAAAUCAGGUUUCAGUAGUACCAAGGUUUUCCAUUUGUACACCACUAUGUGUUACACAUGGAUAGUUAACUUAUAGGAUAAAGGUUCUAAAAUGCAAGGAAGCUCUGUGAUAAUCACAUCAGCACCGUGAUUUUACUCCAAUAUUGAUGUAUAAACAGGGACUGAUACAGAGUAACUUGCUAAAUCCAUCUUUACCCUGAUUUGGGGGUUUGUCCAAUUUUCUGGCUUGACUUUCAUUUGCUAACAUUUUUUUACCUCCUAAUUGUAUUUUACUGAAAGGUUACUUAUUUGGUACGUUGAAACACUUCAUAUUGCUGUUAGUUCUGAACAUAUUUUUAGGAGCUAUGCGGGCAUUCUAGGGGUUCAUACAGCGAAGGCAUGUUUUGUUUAUUUUACCAGCCAGUUUAAACCCUUACUGUACAUGUGCCAAGAUGCCUAUUUCUUAUAAUUUCUGUAUAAAGCUUACUAUUUCUGUUUGGUAUCCGAAAGCUCAUAUAUCUCAAAUGGAAUAGUUUAUGAGAGGAACAAAGAAGAAAGGAUGAUGAUAUAUUAUUUUUUUUGCUUUUGAAUUGUCAUUUGUAUGCUUACAAUAUUAUACCAAAGUAUGUGUUACAGGAGAAUGAGAUAUGACAGGGUUUAUUCAAAUCAAUAGUUUUUCAUGUAAUACUAGACUAAGCUACUACCGUACCUAUCACUAAUGACUGACCUCUACAUUUGCUCAUAACAUUACAGGGUCUGUGACUGAGCCUGAAAUGUGCUCAUCGCGUAGUUGAUUUGCACAGACAACUUUUGUUACAUAGGCUGCAAGACGUGUUGAGAGAGACUAAACGUAUCUACAACUAAAUACAUUCUCCAUGUCUGGAUUUAUUGAGCCUUUCCAAGGUAUGCUCCUACAUAAAAAAAUUAUAUGCAUUGACAUUUCAUUGAAAGACGUACCACAACCUGCAAUGUUUUUCUUUUUCUUGGUUAUUCAUUUCUUCGUAUUGUGCCAGACUCAGUUCGUAGAGUUCACAUUUGCCAUAAAGUAGGUUGAAGAUAUUACUGGCAGAGAUGAAUUGGUCCCUAUGGUUAAAGCUAGGUUCGUUGAGUUGUCCACCAGUAAACUAAAUACGGAAUUUUUUGCUUCCAGGUUCAGUCCUUUGAACCAAAGACCAAUGCAACAGAGCGACCAAACAAAAUAACACAUGUGAUAAACACGCCAACAUGCUCUCACCAACACAACAGACUAACAAAGCAACCAACUGAAACUACACCUGUGAUAGGCACACCAAUAUGAUACUUCACUCUGCAGGACUGGAAAAUGUCUGUUCUUCUUUAGCUUGCAGUUAUAUCGGAUCUUUUUUUUUUCUUAGAGUUAUAUCAGUUCUUCUUUGAUGUGGAGAAAUUUUGUAAUAUUAAACAUGCUGACCACAUAAGAAUUGAGUUGAUGAGUUCAUAAUAUUUUGACCAAACCUGAGGCAGGGUGAUUUCCUCUUAUAAAUUGAUCUUCAUGAGUUUAUAAAUUGACGUUUUUGUAUUUACUGAAAGGUUCAUGCUGCUUAGUUUCCAGGUUGACUUUUUAAUUUGCCAAAUUGUUAGCGGAAAUAUGUAUACUUAAGUAGUUACCAAUUGCAUCGACCAAGACAUUUCAUCCACUGCCUUACUCUGAUCACAAUAUCAGAAACUAGGGUUCAUUGUAGAUAUUUACUUCCUGAUGUAGCCAUUUGGUAAAAUAGUAGUAGCAUAAGAUCAUCUGUUUUUACUUUUCCCUACUGAAAACAGUCUGUUGUUUUUAGCAACCACUGUACAUGUUCAGAACUUCACAUGUUAAAACAUGGAUAGCCAUUAAACCAUUGUCUUGCUUAAUUGAGGAAAUUGGCCAUUUUGCUUAUCUACCAAUUUGCGUAUUCAUCUUGCUCUAUGAAUUUCUUUAGUAUGUCAAUGUUUUCUUUCAGAUGUCCUUUAUUUCUCAAUAAUUUCCGCUAAUACAUUUCAAAAUUAAUGCAUUAAGUGGUCGUAUUAUUCACAGAGAACCUUGGUUCUUUUCCUUGGUCCAAUUGUGUUGUGUUUGCUUAGCUGAUCACAAUUCGAACUAGGCCAAAUAUAGUUUGCUUCACAAAAAAAAAAGUCCUGACAAUUUUCAAAGGAUAUGGCUUCAGGUCUUGCGGCUCUAUUUUCUCACAUGACAAGAUUCAUCGAGCUACCACAUAAUUUUCAAAUAACAAUGCUGAAACAGCGCAACAAUACAGAUCAGGUCCAGGCAGCACCUAAAAUAGAAAAGGAGCAUAUGGGAAUUGAUUACCUCCUCGACAACUGAGGCAGUCUCCGUCAACAACGCUCUCGACCCACAAAGCCGUGGCAAUGGCUGUGCCAAGCUCAACAUGCCCAUCAACCUACUGCGCCACCUUUCACAGGGAUGAAAGACUAAGAAUACCACCGAAGCCACAAGUGCCCUACUGAAGGUCCCCACUCAAGCAAGGAGCAAUGCCGUCCGCGGACCCAUCCUCGCGACAGAAUGCCUCCAAAGAAGAUCAUAAGCAUUCCCUCAUCUGACAAAGAGGACAACAAUGCAUCUUAUUGACGAGCUUCACGCCGACUAUCUCAGCAAAGUACGGCUAAUUUUCGUAAUCAGCUGAACUGUCGUUCUGAACCACCAAGCUCUCCAUCCACUACAGAGCACCAUAACCACAGAAUCACCACUCUCACCUGAUAGCCCAUAUAUAUCAGGAUAUGCUCUGCUUUUGUCAUCUGAAUUUUGCUACUCUAUAGAUAAUCGGUACAUGGCACCAAGUAUCUAUGGAUGACUAAGAAUCAUGUAGUAUGUAAAUGUAGCAAAACCAAAGAAUGUACUAUGUAAUGCAUAUCUAUAUCUUACGAUACUUUCUGUUUAUAUCCAUAUCAAUAAGCAAUUUUCUGCAA